rnacentral:sRNA from 1 species
GGGUGUCUGGCCAUCCUGAGGAGGCCUUGUUCAGGACAAUGCUUCGAUGGCCAGAAAGGAAAACAGGAGGGCAGUGGGUUGACCUUUGCAUCCCCAGCAUGGCGGGGAGUGGGCUGCCCUGGGCACAUUGGCUCUCCUGCAGCCCCCACUGACUCGGGCCCUGGGCCCCUGUCUCUCUGUGUUUGUGUCACUCUGCUUGCCUCCAUCGUCUGUGAUGCUCAGAGUGGGGGCGGCGGGCCCGACGUGGCGUGGAGGUGGCAGCAGGGGCCAGCAGCGGUGGUGAGACACGGCAGCCUGGGAACGGCACCCGGGCAGGUGGCCCAGAGGAGACGGCCGCCCAGUACGCGGUCAUCGCCAUCGUCCCUGUCUUUUGCCUCAUGGGGCUGUUGGGCAUCCUGGUGUGCAACCUCCUCAAGCGGAAGGGCUACCACUGCACGUCACACAAGGAGGUCGGGCCUGGCCCUGGAGGUGGAGGCAGUGGUGAGGCCCGGCUGGGGUCCAGGUGGGGAGGACGGGGGCAAGAGCCCAGCCCCAGCUCCACUUGGGGGCUGCCAGCGGAAUCCUGCCUGGCCUCUGGGGUCUGAGAGGGACAGGCCUGGGAGGUGACAGCUGCAGACUGACAACAUGGGAGUAAAGGUGAGGGGACGGAGGUGUGGCCUUGGGGGCAGAGCAGAGGCAGCACAGCUGGUCAAGUGGCUUCAGUGGGAUCCCACCCUGGGUGAAGCCUUGCCCAGAUGUGGGGAUCUGGACACUUUGGAGGCCACAGUUGUGUGUAUGGUUCCAGGGUCGGAUGGCCUUGGAGUUACUCAAGGUGACCUCUGACCUCUGGCCUGGAGUAGGAGGGGUGCCCUGUGUCAGGAGGGCUGGCAGGGCAGCUGGCCUGUCCUGGGGAGGCACCAUGAGGGGCUCGGGUUUCGGUUCCAGGCUGUAGUUUGAGUUACAAGGCCUGGAACCGGAGGGACAGGCAUGUGCCACCACCUUCACCCCCAGGGCCCCGGGCCCCUUUCCUUCUUCCCCACACCACUACUGCCCUGAAGGGCAGGGCCCCCUCGCACACACCCUGCCCUGGGCCCAUGGGAGCCUGUGGCUACCUCAUGAGUGAAAUGGCAUCUCCCAUGCUAGCACCCUGGGCUGUCUGGGGCUGGCAUGGGAGCCAGAGCCCCUUCUAAGUCCUGACACUGAAGUCUGGCGGGGGCAGGAAGCAGACAGGAGCAGUAAACCGGCAGGAGGGAACGUGGUGACUCAGGGCCAUUUUGCCUGGGACUGCGCUUGUUUUCCUAGAGACUUCCUUUAACUGCUGAAUGCUGCCUGGUUGCAAGUCCUGGGAGCUCUGUUUGCUGCUGGGCCCAGGGCUGAUCAUCGUGGCCCAUUCUCACACCCUUGAGAUUUGGGCCCAAAGCUGACCAGGGGCCCUCAGUUAAAUUGUUACACAGACAGGGCACGGUAGAGAGGCCAUGGAAUAGCAGUUUGCUGUAGAUUUGGGGAGUUCUGGGUAGGGUGGCAGCCCACAGCUCCCUGAGGCUGAGGAGGAGACAGUGCAGACCCAGAAGACGCUGACGCACUGCCCCCUCCCCCGCCCAAUUCAAUGACUGGAGUUCAUGUGGCCCUGAAACCUCUAUGCACCCGGGCUGUUGGGUGCAAGAAGCAGUGGUGUUGAGUCAUGAAGGUGAUAUGGGCUUCUCUGAGCCUGGAUCCCCCAUUUGCAGGGCUCUGGGAGACUUGUCACCUAAAUGCACAUGCUCAGGGCCCUUAAGAAGGCCAGGGGUGCCCUCUGCUGGCAGACCGUGGUUUAGCUCAGGAGCGCGGCUUCCCCCCUCUUCCCCAGGAUCAGGGCCCUCUUCCCCCCUCUUCCCCAGGAAUCAACCCUGCCUACCGGACUGAGGAUGCCAAUGAGGACACCAUUGGGGUCCUGGUGCGCCUGAUCACAGAGAAGAAAGGUGAGGAGAAGGUCUGACCCCAUCCCAGUGCCCAGGAGAGGAGGGUUUCCUCCAGGAGCCUGUGAGGCAGCCGCAGUGGACAGAGUCUUGCCCUGCUUUGCCUUCCCUGCUGGGGUGCCUCAAGCAGCCUGGUGCUCUCUGACCCCGGAGUGCACACCUCUGCCUCCCAUUCUUGCCUGAUGAAGUGGGAGGAAAAGGCACACAGCCCGGGCUGGGAGUGGUGGUAUGGAGGGUAGGUGGGGGAUUCUCUGCUGGGGCAGGGGGUGGGAGGUGUGUCCCAUAUGGCCAGAGCAAGGGUCUGACUGCAGCUACCCACAGAGAAUGCUGCGGCCCUGGAGGAGCUGCUGAAAGAGUACCACAGCAAACAGCUGGUGCAGACGAGCCACAGGCCUGUGUCCAAGCUGCCGCCAGCGCCCCCGAACGUGCCACACAUCUGCCCGCACCGCCACCACCUCCACACCGUGCAGGGCCUGGCCUCGCUCUCUGGCCCCUGCUGCUCCCGCUGUAGCCAGAAGAAGUGGCCCGAGGUGCUGCUGUCCCCUGAGGCUAUAGCCGCCACUACUCCUGCUCCCAGCCUUCUGCCUAACCCGACCAGGGUUCCCAAGGCUGGCGCCAAGGCAGGGCGUCAGGGCGAGAUCACCAUCUUGUCUGUGGGCAGGUGAGGUGGGCACAGACGCAGCAGGGGCAGGUAAAGACGUGACAGCCUGGGGGCCGGGAGGGGGAGGCAGGGCCCCAGCUUUGGCCCUGAGCACCCUGCUCAGUGGGAGCCCUGCCCUUAUUGGGCCUCUCUGGGCAGUGGAGGUGGCCAGAGAGAUCAGGACUUCCCGGUUACGCUGUGUGUCACAUGGAGCCCUUGCGUCCCUAGGGCAGCAUCUUGGCCCCCAUGGCACCCAGGCCUCUCAAGCUCACACUUUGGUCCAUGAACUUGCUCUGUGACCCCGGGCACGUGCUGCCUUCUCUGUGCCCGGGGAUCCCCGCUAAUGGGGAUGAUUGCCACACUCUCCUCACAGGUUCCGCGUGGCUCGAAUUCCUGAGCAGCGGACAAGUUCAAUGGUGUCUGAGGUGAAGACCAUCAUGGAGGCUGGACCCUUGGGGGGUGAUCUCCCUGACUCCCCACAACCUGGCCUCCCCUCUGAGCAGCAGGCACUGCUAGGAAGUGGCGGAAGCCAUACUAAGUGGCUGAAGCCCCCAGCAGAGAACAAGGCCGAGGAGAACCGCUAUGUGGUCCGGCUAAGUGAGAGCAACCUGGUCAUCUGAGGGGUGGUCUAGUCUGAGGACACUGCGGCCCUGCCCUGGGAGGUUCCGAAGGCUUCCUGGAGGAGGUGGAGCUGCAGCUGGGACUGUGAGGACCGAGAAGCAAUGGCCCAGCAGACGAGACAGCAAAGACCAAGGCCUGGAGGUGGGAGCGUCCGCCCCAGUGAGGAGGCAGGUGGCCGGCGGGCACUGUGUACAGGAGCAGGCUGAGCCCCGCCCCCGGCCCUGCUGCCAUGUUGCUCCUCUGCAGGAUGCCCCAACCCCCGUGCCUGCCCUGGCUGGAUCCUAGGAGCCCACGGGAUUCUCUGUAUCAUCAGAGGGCUGGGCUUGGCAGAGGGGAGGGGCCCGUGCCCGUCACCCCGGCCCCAUUCCUUGGUAAUUAGCCACACCCUUGCCUCUGUACAGGGCCCUAGAGCAGAUGUGCGUCCCCCUCCUCUUCCAGCAGGUCUAUAAAGGGAAGGGGCAGCAGAAGGUCCUGGGCUAGGAGAGUGAGUCCCUGGGUUCUAAUCUUGGGCACGUCUGUGGCCAUCGCUGGGUCCAUUUUUCUGACUGUGAAGGAAGGAGAGACGUCUCAGUACCCAGGGCCUCUUCAGCUCUUUGUAGGUUCUGGGCUGGGUUGUGGGGGACUGGGGAGCAGGGCUCUACCAUCCCUCCUAUUAGUAGCUUUAUCCAGCCCCAUUUUUGCUGCUUCCAGGGCCUCUGCCUUCAAGGCCCCCGUGGGGCUGUCCAUCCGUGGCUCUGCCUACGGAAGGGGCUUAAUGCAUGUGCCUGCCCCUCCCCUAGCUGUUUUUAAUGAAACUGAAAAAAUAGACUUGAUCCCGGCAGGACUGUGAUACAGAGCCCUAGCCUUCCCAGCCAGCCCCAAGAUCUCAGGAGCUUUAGGGAGAAGAGUGUUGGUGGGGCUGGAGCACACCUCGGGCCUCAGUGGUUUCUGUGUCCCUGUGGUGCCAGUGCUUCUGGGCAGUGCAGGCGGCUGCCAGGCCCAGCCCUGACCUCCACUCUGGCUCAGCAACCUGAUUAUUUAUGUGGGGCCGUGCAGGCAUGGGCCCACUGCCUGUCCGUCCUGUUUCUCUUAUUUAUUGAAACUCACCAUUGCCCUAACCUUGUGUCUCCACCCCCUUCCAUGUGUUGAAUAAUAAAAGGUGGGAAAGUGCUGUC